UACGAAGGGGGCUAGCGUUGUUCGGAUUUACUGGGCGUAAAGCGCACGUAGGCGGAUCGUUAAGUCGGGGGUGAAAUCCUGGAGCUCAACUCCAGAACUGCCUUCGAUACUGGCGAUUCUUGAGUCCGGAAGAGGUGAGUGGAACUCCUAGUGUAGAGGUGGAAUUCGUAGAUAUUAGGAAGAACACCAGUGGCGAAGGCGGCUCACUGGUCCGGUACUGACGCUGAGGUGCGAAAGCGUGGGGAUCAAACAGG
rnacentral:rRNA from 1 species